rnacentral:misc_RNA from 1 species
GAUGAAGAACGCAGCGAAAUGCGAUAAGUAGUGUGAAUUGCAGAAUUCAGUGAAUCAUCGAAUCUUUGAACGCACAUUGCGCCCUUUGGUAUUCCAAAGGGCAUGCCUGUUCGAGCGUCAUUUGUACCCUCAAGCUUUGCUUGGUGUUGGGCGUCUUGUCUCUAGCUUUGCUGGAGACUCGCCUUAAAGUAAUUGGCAGCCGGCCUACUGGUUUCGGAGCGCAGCACAAGUCGCACUCUCUAUCAGCAAAGGUCUAGCAUCCAUUAAGCCUUUUUUUCAACUUUUGACCUCGGAUCAGGUAGGGAUACCCGCUGGACUUAAGCAUAUCAAUAAGCGGAGGA